rnacentral:lncRNA from 1 species
AAAAAUUUGGGACACGGGUUGUCUUAGUUUGGACUCAAUCUUUUUUUUCAGAUAAGAGAAGUCAGCUCCUCUAUUUAGACAAAAACGAGUGCAUUCGGUGUUUCUAAAUAGGAAGCCAGACAUAUCACAUUCAUAAGUCUCACCAUUGACGUGAGCUUUGAUUUUGUAUUGUGAUGAAGAUGCCAUGUUAUGUGAAGGUUUUGUGAAGAU